rnacentral:lncRNA from 1 species
UGAAGUCAAGCCAUCAUCAUUAUUAUUGGUUGUAGCAGUAGUAGUUUUGUGUUAUACCUUAGUUACUGGACUGUUCUUAUCUCAACCAGUGGGAACUAUUUGCUUUUGAUUCUCCUCCCCAUCCCUCUGGGAGCAGGGGGAGGAAGAAGUGGGGAGAGUGAGUGAGCAGCUACGUGGUUUUGAGACUGUUUUGGCUGGACUUAAACCACGACACCAUGAUAUGGCUCAGAGUAUUUUCUGAAAAAGUCCUGCAGUGCAGAGGAGUCAAACAUUUGAUCACAUGCAGCAGCACAAGAUAGAUGGAGUACAGCUGACUCAACAGCUACAGGGGAUUUGGAAUGGAAACAAUCACUUGCUUGAAGGAAACAAUGUUAUCCAACUUGUGGUGUCAGUCAGCCUAUUCCCACAGUCACUGCAUUGAUGGAGGAAAAUUUUGUUUAUAAAGAAGGGGGAGAUGUGUGGAAUCCUGCACAAGAAGCUGCACCAGUAGACUUGGACGAGAGCCCAGACAUCUGGACUCUUAUCAGCCACAAACCCUGGGAGAAGUGAGCGGGACAAGUCGGGAAGAACAGGAAAAAGAACAUCAGGUGGAACCGAAGAAAGAGCAUAAAGGUAAUUUCUGAGGACUGUACAUUUGGAAACAGCAGGAUGCUUAGGCAAGAUAAAGAAUGUGUAGUCAAGGGGAAGUGGAAAUGACAAUGCGGCGAGUAGUGAUAGCAGAGAACUAUGUUUAGAAAUAAUUACUCAAGCAAAGGCGUGUUGACAGUAAUGUGAUUGGCUGGAAGAGUGCGUGAUCAGUAAGACUUUUUUGUGAUCAAAAAGUAGCAAAAGAAUUAACUGCUGCUAAGCACUAGGCAGAAUACUAUAAAAACCUGUAAGCUCACUCAAUAAAGGAUUUUGUUUGUAGCCAGAAAUGGAAUCUAUGCCUCAGCUGACACAAGAUCAGGCAUGGCAACGGAUGCCAUCCCAUUGAAAGGACGACCCGUGUGCAGUAGGGAC